rnacentral:rRNA from 1 species
ACAACCUUCCUUCAAGCGGGGAAUAGCCCAGAGAAAUUUGUAUUAAUACCCCAUAAUAUAUUUGAUAAGGCAUCUUAUUAAUAUUAAAGCUUCGGCACUUGAGGAUGGGUGUGCGGCUGAUUAGAUAGUUGGCGGGGUAACGGCCCACCAAGUCUACGAUCAGUAGCUGAUGUGAGAGCAUGAUCAGCCACACGGGCACUGAGACACGGGCCCGACUCCUACGGGAGGCUAGCAGUUAAGGAAUAUUGGACAAUGGACGAAAGUCUGAUCCAGCCAUGCCGCGUGAAGGAUUAAGGUCCUCUGGAUUGUAAACUUCUUUUAUAUGGGACGAAAAAAGGGCAUUCUUGUUCACUUGACGGUACCAUAUGAAUAAGCACCGGGCUAACUCCGUG